UUUAUAUUGAUGUUCAAAACCCGCAGUUAAACGCGCCACAAUAUUUUUUAUAAAUCCGUUUAAAGUUGACAUUUGAAUAUUAAAUACACAAAUGCACAUGUACAUACCCGAUGGCCACACUUCCCACCAGUUAAUCCCAGUUUCCGCCUUAAAUUGUCUGUAUAGUUUCAAACGAGGCUUCGGGUCGUUAUCCUGUUGAAGUCGGUGACCGAACCGGCAAUUAGUGUUAAUAAACGGAACCAAAGAUUCUUUCAAUAUGUUUUCCGUAAAAAGCACACUGUUCAUUAUUCCGUAAAAAAAAUACUAUCUGUGUAGCACCACGGCGGCUAAUGCCAGCCCACACAUGAUUUUUAAGGAGAUGUUUUGGCUUAGGUAUGGAUGUUCUUACUGAUCAUGCCGGUCUGUAGCUAGUUGUUCUGUUGUUGUGCAGCUGCACUGAGCUUUCGUGGGCGAAUAUUACGUGAUUGUCAUUUGAACUAAUUAGAGCGUUGCAAAAAUAAAUCCGAUGUUGAAGAUUACGCUCCUUGACCAUCUGCGAGUAACGCGGCAUGCUAUUGGUAAAUACGUGAAACUCUAACCAUGUUUGCUUGUAAUUUAGUUUGGAUCAAUACUAUUGCAAUUAAAGUUAACAAAACAUUCAUUUAUUUCAUCGCGUGGCGGGUGUCAAUAAUUUCACAAGUCUUAGUGAAUAUACAGCACGGCGUUCCAUAAUACACUUAUGGACUGAAGCCAGAUUCGAGUCCCGUGUGAAAUCAAAUUUUGUUUAUUGUCUUAAAACUAUUAUAUAUUUUAUUAUUACACGACAUUAUGCAACUGUAACAAUAUCUUCUAAUGUUCUUGAUGUCUUUUUUUAAUUAAGUUAUUUUGCAUCCAACAAUAAAUGUGCGGUCUACUGUGAACACCAAUUAAAGUACAUGUACCAGUAUUCUUUAAGCUACAAGAAUAGUCAUUCUGGAAACAAUAUAAUGUGACACGCAUAGUGUUCUAUAUAGGUUUCAUUCCACUAAAUCAUUUACGCGUAGUGAUCGAACAUAUUCUUUUUGUGGUUAUUUCCUGUAUCCUGUAUGUGUCCGCAACGAUUUGGUGCAUUUCAUUGCGGGAAACUUGAUAUAUAGGAAAAGCCAAAACAAUUCUUUGAAAGUUGGCAGUUUUAUAACCAUUUUCAUGUAUACGAAUUUGUCACUGUGAUAGGCUUAUAUUAACUAUCGCUGGAUUGUCUUGACAGCCUGCAGAAUUACACAGUAACACAAUUAAUAUAUAAUUUUUGAAAACAAUAAUAAUAUUUAUGUAAAUUAUAUUAACACUAUUUAAUAUAAUAUUUUGUUUAUAGCACACUUCAGGUGAUAGUAUGGCUGACUUUUAGUGUUCAAUGGAGCAGAAGUAGCUGUUGGCGUUAUUCUAGCCGAAGGUCGAGAGACCGAAAUGGUAACAGUCCUGAAAUUGCACGAAAAAAACGGGCCCCGCAGUUCCAAAGCCCCAAAAGCAAAAGACAAAGGCCGGAAAACCCACUGCGACUGUCCUUUUGAGGGUUCUCCAAGCGACUGCCACAACCCAGCCACAAACCGAUUUGGUACCCACGACUACGAUCGAGGAAAAAACUACAUGUACAACAACGACCCAGCCAUCGAUGACGACGACGACCACCACAUCUGAAUCGGAAGAAACAACGUCAUCAACGAAGACGACCGCAAAGCAAGGAGCAACAACGCCAGCAACAACGACGACCGCUUAUCAAGGAGCAACAGCACCAGCAACAACGACGACCGCCACCUUAGGAGCAACAGUUUCCACUACGACGACGAUUACGCCAAGUCAUGUAACUGCUCGGAGCGAUGCCAUGCCAGGAUGCCUGAUUUCGGCAUUGAACCAGGUCGUCAACAGCAUUAGGAUUAUGCAGAGGGAACAGGAGUUGGCAACAAGCAGAAGACCAGACAAGAGCCAUACAUGCACUAACCACUGAGUUAGGGGAGGUACGCUCGAUGACGGGGACGAUGAUUGGCAUGCUUGCCCAAUCUUCUAGACCCCAAACAACGGAAAUCUCGGACGUUACAGGAUCAGAUUCACCCACGCGGUGGUAAUCUCCGAUGAGGAGUUGAAGUCAAUCCGUACUACGUCGUUGAUUUAUUCAUUGCCGCAAACAUCAAAAGCCUCUAUAAAUACAAUGGUGGUGGACAGAGCAUAACAACCGUAAAGUCCAACAAGAAAGUCAGCAGUGAAACGGUAUGUUACAAGGUUCUUUCCGAGGCUACGGAUCCAGAAGCCUGAAAUGCGCAGUGUGUAUCCAUAAUCAACGAAAUCCUGCGCCGCCCAGCCAUCGCGACAACUCAUUGAUUUCCAGCCUCUGGAGUCACCUGGACCACUUGACAGGUCAAUGUUUCUGUAUUGACGACCUGAAAUUUAAAUGUACAUGGUGUAAAAAUAUUUUUAUGAUAUUCGUAUUGAUUUGAUGUAGUUUGUUUAUGCAUGUAUGUCUGUGUGUAUGUAUGAAUGUGUCUUUAUUGAUUUGAUGUAAUUGUUUUCUGUAUGUAUGUCUGUGUGUAUGAAUGACUGUGUCCUUAUUGAUUUGAUGUAGUUUGUUUCUGUUUGUACAUGUAUGUUGUUUGUAUGUAUAACUGUGUCCAUAUCGAUUCGAUUUACAUUGUAAGUUGUUUUUGUAUGUUUGUCUGUGUAUGUAUGACUGUGUCCUUAGUGAUUUGAUGAAGUUCUUUUCUGUAUGUAUGUCUAUAUGUAUGUAUGCCUGUGUAAGUAUUUGUUGAUGUAUAUAUAUAUGUAUGUAUCUUUAAUGUAAAUUGUGUAUAUAAAUAGAAAUUGUAUAAAACAAAUCAAAAGCGUACUGUGUCCUUGAUGUGCAAUAAAUACAAUUUCAGGCGAA